rnacentral:rRNA from 1 species
CGGAGAGUGCAAACGUUGUUCGGAUUCACUGGGCGUAAAGGGCACGUAGGCGGCUCGGCAAAUCGGUCGUGGAAUCCCGACGCUUACCGUCGGAACGGCGGCCGAAAAUACCGGGCUCGAGGGCGUGAGGGGGUCACUGGAACUCCUGGUGAAGCGGUGAAAUGCGUAGAUAUCAGGAGGAACGCCGGAGGCGAAAGCGAGUGACUGGCGCGUUCCUGACGCUGAGGUGCGAAAGCUAGGGGAGCAAACAGGAUUAGAUACCCUGGUAGUCCUAGCCGUAAACGAUGGACACUGAGUGGAGGAGGGCUUGCCUUUCUCUGCUGCAGCUAACGCGUUAAGUGUCCCGCCUGGGGAGUACGGCCGCAAGGUUA